rnacentral:rRNA from 1 species
AACGAACGCUGGCGGCAUGCCUAACACAUGCAAGUCGAACGAAGUCUUCGGACUUAGUGGCGCACGGGUGCGUAACGCGUGGGAAUCUGCCCUUGGGUACGGAAUAACUCAGAGAAAUUUGUGCUAAUACCGUAUAAUGUCUUCGGACCAAAGAUUUAUCGCCCAAGGAUGAGCCCGCGUAAGAUUAGCUAGUUGGUGGGGUAAAAGCCUACCAAGGCGACGAUCGUUAGCUGGUCUGAGAGGAUGAUCAGCCACACUGGGACUGAGACACGGCCCAGACUCCUACGGGAGGCAGCAGUGGGGAAUAUUGGACAAUGGGCGAAAGCCUGAUCCAGCAAUGCCGCGUGAGUGAUGAAGGCCCUAGGGUUGUAAAGCUCUUUUACCAGGGAUGAUAAUGACAGUACCUGGAGAAUAAGCUCCGGCUAACUCCGUG